rnacentral:lncRNA from 1 species
GGUCUUGAACUCCUGGCCUUAAGCGAUCCUCCUGCCUUGGCCUCCCAAAGUGCUGGAGUUACAGAUGUGAGCCUCUGUGCUCAGUCCAUCCUUGGCUGUUCAAGUGUAGAGGGACACGGCUUCCCCUGAACGCGGAUCCUAGAGGCCAGGCAGAAGCAGCAUGGGUUUCCACUCACACGGUAGGCGGCUGUGCAAUUUCGUCUGGAGUCCCCAGACCCCUCCUCAUCCUUCCCAGGGUUGCUCUGAGGCCAUUCCUUGUCAUCUAGGAGGGGUCUACAUAAAAGCAUUUAUAAACACCUCCAAAUGGGAGCCAGGCGUGCCCACCUUUGGAGCACUUUUCUCUACUGCAAAUUUAUCUACUGCUCGUGAAAUCUCUGGAUUUAACUCUGAUGAAAGACUGGAGGCUGAAGGAGAACUUCAAUAUCAUAUAUUUUAAAGGUUGAUUCACAGUUUGGAGCAAGAAUUAAAGAACCACGAACUUCAAGGUAAAACGGGCAACGGCGUUGGGGCAAGCCUCUCUGCAUCUGCGUGUCCAGCCUCUCCUGCGUGCCAGAAGUUCCCAGGCAGGAGUGUGGUGGGACAUCCGGCUGGGGUAAGGACAGGCACCCUCCCACUGUGUCAGGGCCCAGAGAGUGGGUGGAGAAGCUCUGCAAGAGACCUGUGCAAGGGCGCCUUGCAGGAGCCUGCAGUCCCCACAGGUGUGUUUGUGGAUAACACUUGGGGAGCCCUGGCCUUUUGGGGUCACGGAGGGCUUGGCCUCUCACCUCAGAGCUGCAGAGAAGCCGCUUCUACAUCAGGACAUCAGAAGCUGGAACAGGAUGGCCGGCGAGGGGCCUCUUGUUGGGGUCACAGAGAUGGGUCGCAGAGAUGGCCCGUGUGGAAGGUUGGAUUCUCACCCCACCUCUGCCCCUAGAUGUCCUGGUGACCCUCCCCUCUGUAGUCUUGGUUUUUUGCAAAACAGUUAUGACCUCCUGCCAUA